rfam:Pteropus alecto contig63121, whole genome shotgun sequence.
UUCCAUGGCCAUGCCGCCCUGAACAAGCCCAGUCCCGUCUGAUCUCAGAAGCUAAGCCGGGUCCGGCCUGGUUAGUACUUGGAUAGGAGACCACCUAGGAAGACCAGAUGCUAUGGGCA